rnacentral:rRNA from 1 species
UACGAAGGGGGCUAGCGUUGUUCGGAAUUACUGGGCGUAAAGCGCGCGCAGGCGGUUUUUCAAGUCAGUGGUGAAAGCCCGGAGCUCAACUCCGGAACUGCCAUUGAAACUGUGAAACUUGAGGAUGAGAGAGGUGAGUGGAAUUCCCAGUGUAGAGGUGAAAUUCGUAGAUAUUCGGAGGAACACCAGUGGCGAAGGCGGCUCACUGGUCCAUUACUGACGCUGAGGUGCGAAAGCGUGGGGAGCAAACAGGG